rnacentral:lncRNA from 1 species
GUCCAACUCCCCUGCAAUGAACAGGGACACCACAGCUAGAUCAGGCUGCCCAGGGCCUGAUCCAGCCUCACCUUGAAAGUCUCCAGGGACACAGCAUCAACCACAACACUAGUUACUUACUCUGAUGGACUCACAUAUGCCAGUGUGUAUGUGCAAAUUACACGGAGGAUGCAAAAACAAAGAAAAAUAAAGCCAACAAACAAAUAAAAACCCACCCCACAUUCUCGAGGAUGUAUGUCUAUUUACAAGAUCAACUAAAUCCCAUUUGUGUUUGACAUCCAUUUGCCGUGGAAAAGUUUGGAACAUCUCUGGCUUAGCGCUAGAGCUACGAUGUCAGGCUGAAGUUUUGAGGAGGAUCACUAAUUUGAUUGUAUAAGCCAGUGACUGUGCUUAUAUCUGUGCCCUGGUGGAAAACAGACUGCUCAUUUCGGGAAGCUCAUGAAAAAAGCAGAACUGAGCUGACAGGACUGUUGUGUGUUUCUUGCAAAGGCUUAAAAGGGAAAGGUAAUGAAAGGUAAAGGAAACACAGGAAACAAUUCAGCAGGAAAGGCAUCUG